UUUUUUUCUUUUUCUCAUUGACUGGAUAAUUUCAAAUGGCCUAUGUUUAAGCUUACUGAUUCUGCUUGAUCAAGUUUGCUGCUGAAGCUCUCUAUUGCAUUAUUUAGUUCAUAUUUUGUAUUCUUCAGCUCCACAUUUUGAUUUUUUUAAUGUUUUCUCAUUGUUGAACUUCUCAUUUUGUUGUUAUAUUAUUUCCUGAUUUUAUUAAAUUAUCUGUGUUCCCUUAUAGUUUGGUAAGCUUCUUUAGAACAAUCAUUUUGAAAUCUUUGUCAGGCAACUCAUGGAUCUCCAUUUAUUUGGCAUCAGUUACUGAAAGUUUAUUGUAUUUUUGGUAGUAUCUUAACUCCUGAUUUAUUGUAUUCCUUAUUUCUUGCAGUGGUACCUGCACAUUUGAAGAAGAAAUCACAUAUUCAAGACUUUAUGUACUAGCUUCAGUAAGGAAAGACCGUCACUUGAGGGAAGGGGGUACAGAGGCACUGACCAGGGGAUUAUACAGAAGCAUUCUAUGGUGCCAUGGCUGAUGGCAUACAGGUUUCUAAAUGUGGGGUAUGUGGCAGCUAUGGGUCUUGAGAUCACAGUGACUUGAUGGCCCUGACUGCUAUGGUCUGCAAUGUCAGCAACUCUGUGGUCCUUGGUAGCAAAAGUAAUGUGGUAUACAAGAUAGCUGGGUGUCCUCAGCAACACCACCAUGUCCAUUGGAGGGUACACUUAGGUAGGCAACAGGUGUUUAUAACUAAUGGCAUAAAUGUGCAUGACUACUAAGGAUAGCUGUGAGCAUGUGUACAGUGAUGAGGACUAACAGCAAGUACUGGGGCCAAGUGUGUGUGCACACAUGGCUGCACCAGUUAGUCAUGGGCAUACACACAGCAAGAGGAGCCAGGGCUGGUGGCAGGGGCUGAAGUAAACCGUGAGUGCACACAUGCUGCCCACACUGUUUUCUGGGGCCAAGGCACCUGUAGUGGCAUUAGGUGGACUGGCUCCAGAUAGGUGGUAUCUUAGGUAGCUGUAGUCUGCAAAGGCAAAAGGGGAAAAAAAGUAGGACUUUCACUGGUGCAACUGCAGAAGAUCCAUGGUGGCUGAAAUGGCUGUUCACUGGCAUUAGCAGAGACUCACUAGCAAAAGCUACUGGGAUUCUCAUAGAAAAAGUUGCUGUGAUCCACGGUAAUGAACACAGCAGGGUCCUCAGUGGUGAAAGCUAUUGGAUGUCCAUGGCAGCCACAAGGGCUGUGAGGUCCCCAACAGCAAAGGCUACUUGGGUUCUCUGCAGAGCAGGCCACUGGGAAUCAUGUUACACCUAACACAUGGCUGACACUGAUAGUCCCCAUCCUUCUUUGUUCCUAGGAAUCUCCAGACAUCUCCACUAUGCCAAUUUCCCCAGCAACCUGCAUGGGAUAAAAAUCAAAGCACAUUCUUCAGGCAAUACCCUAUAAUACUAGGGAUGCUGGUCAUUCAUUCUGUUCUCCUCUUCCCCUGUCAGGGAAACUUCUGGUGUUGAACUGUAUCAGCAUAGGGGAUGGAUGAUGCAGGCAAAAUGAAACUGUGCUUCCUACACUUUCUGUGUAGUUAUUCUUAGGGUUUUGUUUUGUUUUAUUUCCUCCAUUGUGUUGCUGUAGCUUCUUAACUGGACUCCUGAGCUUCCAGAGCUAUUUUCAGUCAUGAAUAGGUAUCUAAUUGUUUUUUUUGUGAGGAGAUGAAGGCUGCAAUCUCUACUGUGCCACCUUGCUGAUACCAUGAUCUUGUCUUGGAGAUAUGUAAUUCCAAUUAAAAUGUAUAUUUUAAUAGCCAUUUCCCAUUCUGCUAGUACACUUUGCUAACAAGAAAUUAUUUUCGGGGAUCCCUGGGUGGCUCAGGUGUUUAACGCCUGCCUUUGGCCCAGGGCGCGAUCCUGGAGUCCCUCAUUGGGCUCCCGGCAUGGAACCUGCUUCUCCCUCUGCCUGUGUCUUUGCCUCUCUCUCUCUCCACCAUGAAUAAAUAAAUAAAUAAAUCUUUUAAAAAUUUAAAAAAUUUAAAAUAAUUUAAAAAAUUAUUUUCACUAACUGUAAUCACACUGAAAUCUUUUCUGUUUGAUAAAGUUCAAAUCCAUGUGGCAUUCCUAAUAUAUUCAUAUUAAAAGAAUAAACUUAAAUGUCUAUAUUAAAAAAUUAUUGAAGUUGGCUUCUGUGUAUUUCAGGAAUAGAGAGCCAUAUUUUCUACCAAAUUCUCAUGACAUGAAUUCAAAUAAAAAUAACUGAAGAAAAUAAAUUUUGUGUUCUGUACCUCUGGCAACAUACAAAAAAUCUAGAUUUAAAAAUAAACUGAAAGGGAUGCCUGGAUGGCUCAGUGGUUGAGCCUCUGCCUUAGGCUCACAGCGUGAUCCCUGGGUCCUGUAUCGAGUCCCACAUCAGGCUCCCUGCAGGGAGCCUACUUCUCCCUCUGCCCAUGUCUCUGCCUCUCUCUCUUUCUCUGUGUCUCUCAUGAAUAAAUAAAAAUAAACAAAAUUUAAAAAACAAGCUAAAAAGUCGGUAAUCUUCCUAUAUUUGUAAAUAUCUCGAUUUUUUGUGUUCUUUAGAUGUUUUCACUUUUUAAAUCAAUUGUUUUGUAUCACGUAAUUAAAUAACUAGGUAUUUAUUUGUUUCGACUAUUUUACACUUAAAGAUCAUUUUGUGCUAAUACUAUGUGUAUUGUUUACUUCCACGAUAAUAUUUGCUACUGCAUACUGUAGAGGCUUGACACUCGCAAAAGUAACUAAAAAAUAUGAAAAAUAAAAUAAAGAUAUAAAAAAUAAAAAUCUUCAGUACUCUGGAAUCAUUAAAUGUAAAAUCCAGAAUAGAAGUGGGAAAAUUAAGUUAUUGAAGGUAAAUUAAUAGUACUAUUUCCAAAUGCUUACUAUUAAUAUUUAAUUUCUCAAAUGAUUAUAUUACACAGGAAUGCUUCUCUUUGUUUCCGCAAGUUAAAGUGCUCUAGGAAUCAUUUAACGCACUGCCUGCCUCUCUGAAUACUUUCAGAUGCUUUCAAUUUCUUUAAUGAAAACAUACUGAAUCUAGUAUUCCUCUAAAUUGACAAGGCAAAAGAAGGAAAACAGUGAAAAAGGAAGACAACAUGAAAGGAACUGGAAUGAGAAAAACACUGACAGUCUGAGAAAAGGAACAGCAUAUUUGAGUAUAUGUAGAUGUAGGGUUUUAUUAUUUUUAAAGUACCUACUGAAUUUCAUGAAUAUUAUUUUGAUUUCUUCCUCUUCAGUUUUAUCAAAAGAUAGUAUGUUCCUGUAUAGUACGUACCUCUUGGUGAAAACUUCUAUUUGUAUUUCUUUUGGAAAUUUGAGCUGCUUAGUUUCACAUAUGCUGGAUAGUAUGGUUGGAUACAGACUCAUGAAAUCACAGCAAUUUAUUGACUCUGAUUCCAUGCACCAUGCCUCUUUGCAUGCCUGAAGAUAUGCUACACAACAAAGUAAAUAACACAUGCAUGAGAGUCUCAAGGACAGAUGCUCAGUGGGAAAAACUGUUCAACAUCCAAGCCCUUCACUAUGCCCUAAAAUACUGCUAUAUAAAGCAGAGUGUCAGGCGGAUGGUGAAAGAAAUGGAUCUGCAGGACUCCAUCAGCUGUGACAUGUGGCAUCAGGAGAUGACUGUUUAUCAGUGUUGCGUUGAACUCCUGACACUGUUUUCUGGUUUAGCUUAAAAACUUGAUCUCUGUAUCUUAGAUCGUUCCAACUAGCAAGGGGUUUUCAAACACUGCCAGAUAGUUUUGUUGUGAGAAAAUGCUAUGUUCAAAUGAAACUGCCCUUAUGUUCCCAUAAGCUGACCUGUGGAAACCUUUUGUAAAUUGUGUCAUGGAAAGAAAAUGAACUGUCAGGAAAAGAUGUUUUUCUUGACUAUCCCUUGCCCUACUGUGACAGCGACAGAUUUAUUUCAUGGUGGCAUUACCUCCA
rnacentral:lncRNA from 1 species